rnacentral:rRNA from 1 species
AGUACGGUCGCAAGAUUAAAACUCAAAGGAAUUGACGGGGACCCGCACAAGCGGUGGAUGAUGUGGAUUAAUUCGAUGCAACGCGAAAAACCUUACCUACCCUGACAUGUCUGGAAAGCCGAAGAGAUUUGGCUGUGCUCGCAAGAGAACCGGAACACAGGUGCUGCAUGGCUGUCGUCAGCUCGUGUCGUGAGAUGUUGGGUUAAGUCCCGCAACGAGCGCAACCCUUGUCAUUAGUUGCUACGCAAGAGCACUCUAAUGAGACUGCCGGUGACAAACCGGAGGAAGGUGGGGAUGACGUCAAGUCCUCAUGGCCCUUAUGGGUAGGGCUUCACACGUCAUACAAUGGUCGGGACAGAGGGUCGCCAACCCGCGAGGGGGAGCCAAUCUCAGAAACCCGAUCGUAGUCCGGAUCGCAGUCUGCAACUCGACUGCGUGAAGUCGGAAUCGCUAGUAAUCGCGGAUCAGAAUGUCGCGGUGAAUACGUUCCCGGGUCUUGUACACACCGCCCGUCACACCAUGGGAGUGGGUUUCACCAGAAGUAGGUAGCCUAACCGUAAGGAGGGCGACUUACCA